CAAGCUUUCAUUUCCUGCUGCUGAAGUGACGCCAAAAAAGAGGGGCAACAGAGACGAGACUUCAGUAGGAACUGCACUUUGGGUUUUCAACUGGUUCCUCUGUGUCUGCAUCCUUUCAGUUUAUGAUAUAUAUGCUGUUGGCUACGUGAUUAUUCCCCAUCAACACCUUCUAGUGAACUCUCUACUUUCUGAUAGCCUGAUUCAGUGCAGUUUUUGAUGAUUCACUGGUAAUCUUUUGGUAUCAAUUUUACGUGUUGGUGCUUCAUACUGGUUCUACCAUCUCUAUUGGCUUCAGUCCGCUAUGAUCUUAUCAAAGUGGUGAUGGGUUGACCGUCAGAGCAAACAGAUUACAGAGCCUGUUAUCAAGCUAGAUUUUUUUUUGAAGUAAAAGAAGCUAGAUUUGAAGGUUUAAUUAGCUCUGUGAUUUGUGGUUCCCCAUUGGUGAUUGGCUGAUAACUUCUGCUAUUAACAUUAUAAAUUGGUUUUUCAAAUCAGUUACUUUACAUCGGCCUAUCUUGGGCGCAGUCUGCUAGCUGGAUGCUUGAAGUCUUGAUGAGUUAUCAUCUGAGAAAACUUUUUCUUCAAAUAAAUAAUUUGUUGUAAGUCAUUCUCCUGUUAUUACCAGAUGACGUAAUUGCCUGCUCGUGGACCAGGAUGUCUGUCUCGAGCCGUCGAUGGACUAAGGAUGGCUGAUCAAGAACCACAACACGAGCUGAUGUAUGGGAAGACUCGUUUUUAAUGUUUGUUUAAGUGUUUGGCUAGUAUGCAUGUCUGAAUAAAAUGUGUGCUACUUGAGUUUCUGGAAUAACUCUGUGGUGAGCUUGGACUUUUAAUAGUCUGUGAACAUGUAAUGUGAAGAAACCGCAUCUGCUGUUGCAUGCCUUCUGUCGCAAUUAUCGAUAUACAUGAAAAGUGAGCUCUUGUUUUGUAAUUGCCACUAACAUUUCUGUGAAAUAAAGCUCCCUUCUCGUUCCAGCCA